GCUACCCGCUGAACUUAAGCAUAUCAAUAAGCGGAGGAAAAGAAACUAACAAGGAUUCCCCUAGUAACUGCGAGUGAAGCGGGAAAAGCUCAAAUUUGAAAUCUGGCGGUCCUUGGCCGUCCGAGUUGUAAUCUAGAGAAGUGUUACCCGCGCUGGACCGUGUACAAGUCUCCUGGAAUGGAGCGUCAUAGAGGGUGAGAAUCCCGUCUCUGACACGGACUACCAGGGCUUUGUGGUAUGCUCUCAAAGAGUCGAGUUGUUUGGGAAUGCAGCUCAAAAUGGGUGGUAAAUUCCAUCUAAAGCUAAAUAUUGGCGAGAGACCGAUAGCGAACAAGUACCGUGAGGGAAAGAUGAAAAGAACUUUGGAAAGAGAGUUAAACAGUACGUGAAAUUGCUGAAAGGGAAACGCUUGAAGUCAGUCACAUUGGCCAGGGAUCAGCCUUGCAUUUGCAUGGUGUACUUUCUGGUUGAUGGGUCAGCAUCAAUUUUGACUGCUGGAGAAAGGCUUGGGGAAUGUGACAGCUCUGGCUGUGUUAUAGCCCCUUGUCAUAUACAGCAGUUGGGAUUGAGGAUCUCAGCACGCCGCAAGGCCGGGUUUCGACCACGUUCGUGCUUAGGAUGCUGGCAUAAUGGCUUUAAGCGACCCGUCUUGAAACACGGACCAAGGAGUCUAACAUGCCUGCGAGUGUUUGGGUGGAAAACCCAAGCGCGUAAUGAAAGUGAAAGUUGAGAUCCCUGUCGUGGGGAGCAUCGACGCCCGGACCAGAACUUUUGGGACGGAUCUGCGGUAGAGCAUGUAUGUUGGGACCCGAAAGAUGGUGAACUAUGCCUGAAUAGGGUGAAGCCAGAGGAAACUCUGGUGGAGGCUCGUAGCGAUUCUGACGUGCAAAUCGAUCGUCAAAUUUGGGUAUAGGGGCGAAAGACUAAUCGAACCAUUUUACGCCGGUC
rnacentral:rRNA from 1 species